rnacentral:rRNA from 1 species
ACAUCGCCUCUUGACCCCCAUAAGAGGUCCAGCCUGCCCAGUGACAAAUGUUUAACGGCCACGGUAUCCUAACCGUGCGAAGGUAGCGUAAUCACUUGUUCUUUAAAUGAGGACUAGUAUGAAUGGCAAUACGAGGGCUGCACUGUCUCCUUUUUUUGAUCUGUAAAACUAAUCUCCCCGUGAAGAAGCGGGGAUAUAUAUAUAAGACGAGAAGACCCUAUGGAGCUUUAAAUAAAAUAACAAUUGCUUUCCCCAACACUAUUUUCAGAAUUUCUUUAUAAAACUAAGCACUUUGAUUACUAAUUUUAAGUUGGGGUGAUUACGGAGUAAAAACCAACCUCCGUGCUGAAAGGAUAUGUCCUGAGCAAAAAGUUACAACUUCAAGCACUAAAAAAUUAACACACAUUGACCCAAUUUYUUGAUCAACGAACCAAGUUACCCUAGGGAUA